rnacentral:lncRNA from 1 species
AGUCACUAAAAUGUUCUAAGCAAUGGUUUUGAGCUUUCAGGUGCAUAAAGCCCUUAUUAUGUGACCUUUGUCCUCAAGCACAUUCUUUCAAUUUACAUUUAUCUAACAAUAAAUGUAAAGGCUCGAUACCUCUACCCGUGAAAUAGCAUUGCUCACAAAUCAAAGCCUCAAAGGCAACAUUCUUGUGAUAACUUCCUGAAAUGAUGACAGCUCUUCAUACAUAUCUUAAUGCCCUGUGACUAUUAAUAAUCACAGAGAGGCUCUCUUAAUUUAAUGACUAGAAGGUUUAAGUUACUAAGAUCUUUAAGCUCAUUUAUGGUAAGUUUUCCUUUGGUAAAUGGGUCCAAGAUAAAAAUUCAGAAAAACACUGUGCCUUUCUACUAAGAAAGGGAGAUUGCAGUUAUUUGGAGAAUGUAUCCAAACAACAUUGACAGAAGUAACAGAAUUUGAUGAAGUUAUUGCUGUCUUGACCACUAAGAUUUAAGUUAAAGAUGGUGUAUGAAUAAAACUUAUCAGGUAGGAAUGUAGUAAUUCUGGCCUAUUAACUGUGCUAGCAUUAUAUAACCUGCCUUGUAAUUUCUAAUGAUAAACUGAUGGUAGGGAUAGAUGUUCUUAUUUCACUUUUAGGCUUAAGCUUGUAUCUGUUCUUCUGUGAAAAGCAGAAAAGAGUUCUUUAGUAGAGAUGUGUUGUCAAUUAAUGUUUCCAUAUAAAAUUGUUAUAGAGAUACUCCUGUCUGUCAUAGACAGUUACAAACAUCAUUCAUUCACUCAUUUCUUUAGGGAAUGGUGAACUACCAACCAAUGUGGGCAGGUUAUGUAAUGGCAGUAAAACAAACAGGCUAAGAUUACAAUGAUUCUACUUGAUAAAUUUUAUGCUUACAUAAAUUACAACUUAAAUAUUAGAAAUAAAUAUGUAUAGGAGUUAUCAAAAAAAAAUUUUUUUUUUUGUCUUUUUAGGGCUGCACCCAUGGCAUAUGGAGGUUCCCAGGCUAGGGGCUGAAUUGGAGCUACAGCUGCCAGCCUACACCACAGCCAUGUCAAUGUGGGAUCUGAGCUGCAUCUGCGACCUACACCACAGCUCAAGGGAACACCAAAUCCUUAACCCACUGAUUACCUUCAAAGACUGUUAAUUGUGGCCAAAUAAAAAUUACACAGCCAGUAAAGUGCUUUACAUCAGAAGCAGGCUUUGCUUUUCAUUCUUCUGACUGCUGAUUGUAGAGAUUCUUUUUGAAAACUAGCUUUAGAGUCAGUUCAUUGGUUACAGAAAAAUAUCGAAGCUCUUACUUUUUCAUCACAUUUCCUUUUUUAAAAUAAAAUUGAUGUAACUAGUUUAAUCACUUACUUAAAUGCACCAAAUUCAGCUGAUGCUCUGCGAUAAAAUAUAUAAUAUUCAUAUUUAUACAAUCUACAACUAUUGUUAGGUUGAUUGUGGGGGUUUUAGUAAAGCUACCUUUCAUGAAGAAAUGGUGGACAGUGUCUUUAUGAAAGAAUAUAGAGAUCUAGAAAUGAAAACCAAAAAAUACACAUGCUCAUCAGUCUGUUAUGUAGCUAUAAAACUUACGGCAGCUAUUACCUUCACAUCAACAGUGUUGAAUAGCUUUAAAUCCACUUUUAGGCAAAAAGGUAUAUAGAAAAUGAGCAGAUACAAUGCCGAAUGUGGCAAUGGUUUCCAUGUAUAACAUCCUUGAAAUAAACAACAUGAUGUUGGUACAUUUUCAUGAGAAUAGACAUGACUUAAAACUGGAGGAUGUUAGUUCCUCACAAGGAUUUGCUAUGGUCAAUUCAUGUGGGAUACUUAAUGUGGAGCUUACCUUUGGAUAUUCCAUUAAGCAAUUCCAAGAUUCCUUAUAGGCAAAUUUCAGCAUAGCAACAUCUGAGCUCAGUCAUGGAAGUCAGAAAUAAAAACAGAUUCCACAUGAUGGCUCAACUGUUUUCAUUUUAAUGGUCAUUAGUGGCCUGUGGACAAGGUGCAACUAGCUAGAUAAACAACAAAUUUGUUUGUUGUAUGAAGUUUAAAGGGAUAAUUUAUUCAUUUGUUAAUUUUGUCUCUUACUUUAGCACAUUAAGUUGUAUUUGUUCUCUGACAUAAGCAACCUUUAUCUAGACUCAUUUGAACUUCAGUUUUCUUCAAAAUCUGCAACAAGAUUCCUUUGAAUAACUUCAAUGUGGAAUAUCUCCAAUUUUUAAAACAGAGCCUUUAAAAAAAAUAAGCCAAAUGGUGUUUGGAACCAUAUCUAUCUGUAAAAAUAUUUUUAAAAAAUAAUGAAUAAAUAAACAGAUGGAUGAAUAUAACUGAUAUAUAUACAUUCUUUCCUUCUUUUUUUGGGUAAAGCUCCAAUACUCACUAAGGCAAUAAUGCAACCUUUCUUGUAGUCAAUAAACUAGCUUUAAUGACAAUUUCAAGAAAGAGAUGCUAAAUCAAUAUCUAAAGCAGGAUUGCCUGAAUGAAUGUAUCCUCAAUGUAUCUACUUUGACAAUAUUGCAGAUACCAAUAAAAUAAAUCAACUGUAUUUAUUCAUGGUCACAUUUCAUAUUAAGAUUGUAAUAAAAUAAGAAUAAAAUAAUGUUUCAAAUGAUAAUUUGAGUAUGACAGAGUCUGUCAUUACAAGUAUUGUUUACAAACUAACCCUCUAGGAAACAUAAUUCUGAUAAAAUCUUUUAAAACAAAGCUUCUAAGCGAGAGUCAACAUACGACUGUUUUGUGUCCAAAGCCAACCUUAAAGCUUCUUUAAAGACAGAACUUGACAAAAAUUCAUUAUGAACA